rfam:Dipodomys ordii contig_31252, whole genome shotgun sequence.
GGUGGCUCAAUAGUAGAGUGCUUGCCUUGCAUGCAUGAGGCCCUGGGUUCGAUUCCUCAGUACCA